AGCAGGUCAUAACAGCAUGAAGGGGUUGAACAGUUCUGAGACUGGAGAAGUCAAUAUAAGUUACAUUUUCAGUUAAAUUUGAGGAAACCACUUGAAGCAUUUGUUUUGUUGAGCUAUUUCAAUUGCUUUUGUUUGAUUUUGACAAUAAAUCUGAUUUUCAAUGGGGGUUUAAAAAUAAUAGUUGCCCGACCGGCCACCUGCCCGCCGG